GAGAAAGGUGUCGGAGGCAGCCGUGGCGCCACUGCGAUGUCUACUGCCGUUAACCAUGCUGGCGCAAUAGUGUGUACAGUUGGGGAGAUCCAUUCAUGGCCUGGAGCCAGCAAUGUCAUUCCUGGCGAGGUAAGUGUCUAAGUUUGGAUUUUAUGCCUUCAGGGCAGAGCACUUGUAGUUAGACGUCAGCUGUUAUAGAUUUACGUGAUGAACACAGGUAUCGACUCUUGCAAUGGUGGGUAAUUUUGUGUUGCAGUUGUUAAUUUAUUUACCGUAUGUGAUGAGAACUGUUAAUGUUUGGAUUCAGGUGAUGUUCACAAUCGAUGUGAGGUCCAAGGACGACUCAAAUCGGGAAACGAAUGUCGUGCGGAUCGAGAGUGAAAUUCGCAAGAUCUGCAGGAAGCGUGGUGUCGGAUGUGUCAUAGAGAGAAAGGUAUAUAUAUAACUAUUGAUUGUGAUAGCAGGUAGAUAUUUGUUCUUAACAAGAAAAAAAGAAAAAAAUUACAGUACUGCUGUACGUAAAGAAAGGUGAUGAGUGAAAAUUAUGUUGAUUUUUACAUGUCUUAUUCCUGGGUUUUCGCAGCAUGAAGCGAACGCAAUAGGGUGUGCUCCAGGAUUGAGCGAUCGGUUGAACGCAGCCGCAUUUACUGCGAUGAGGGAAUUGCCACCAUUCCGCAACAAUUUCACCGCACUGGAAGAUGGUGGAUUCACAGCCCCGACAUUAGUGAGUGGCGCUGGUCAUGACGCUAUGGCGAUGGCCUCCCUCACACAGGUUGGACCUGUCACACUUAGAGAAACAUCCAUGCACGUAGCUUUAAAAAAUACAUGUCGAUGUUGUUUCUUCACAAUGAUCUUGCUCCAAUCACUUACAUGAGUGUUUAACUUGUUGUGGACAUGAUCGCAGGUGGGCAUGCUCUUUUUGAGGUGUACAGGUGGUGUGAGCCACUCGCCCGCAGAGCACGUUCAGGACGACGACAUUUGGGCUGGCAGUCUCGCCCUCCUCCGCUUCAUGGAAGGCG
rnacentral:lncRNA from 1 species